GUGCCAGACUCCUACGGGAGGCAGCAGUGGGGAAUAUUGCACAGUGGGGGAAACCCUGAUGCAGCGACGCCGCGUGAGUGAAGAAGUAUUUCGGUAUGUAAAGCUCUAUCAGCAGGGAAGAAAAUGGCGGUACCUGACUAAGAAGCCCCGACUAACUACGUGCCAGCAGCCGCGGUAAUACGUAGGGGGCAAGCGUUAUCCGGAUUUACUGGGUGUAAAGGGAGCGUAGACGGCAUGGCAAGUCAGAUGUGAAAGCCCGGGGCUCAACCCCGGGACUGCAUUUGAAACUGUCAGGCUGGGGUGCAGGAGAGGUAAGUGGAAUUCCUAGUGUAGCGGUGAAAUGCGUAGAUAUUAGGAGGAACACCAGUGGCGAAGGCGGCUUACUGGACUGUAACUGACGUUGAGGCUCGAAAGCGUGGGGAGCAAACAGGAUUAGAUACCCGCGUA
rnacentral:rRNA from 1 species